rnacentral:rRNA from 1 species
UACGUAGGUGGCAAGCGUUGUCCGGAUUUACUGGGCGUAAAGAGCGCGCAGGCGGUUGUUUAAGUCGAAUGUGAAAGCCCCCGGCUCAACUGGGGAGGGUCAUUCGAUACUGAUCGACUUGAAGGCAGGAGAGGGAAGUGGAAUUCCAGGUGUAGCGGUGAAAUGCGUAGAUAUCUGGAGGAACACCGGUGGCGAAGGCGGCAUCCUGGACCGGUAUUGACGCUGAGGCGCGAAAGCUAGGGUAGCAAACGGG